AUUGAACGCUGGCGGCAUGCUUUACACAUGCAAGUCGAACGGUAACAGGUUAAGCUGACGAGUGGCGAACGGGUGAGUAACGCAUCGGAACGUGCCCGAUCGUGGGGGAUAACGCAGCGAAAGCUGCGCUAAUACCGCAUAAGAUCCGAGGAUGAAAGCGGGGGACCUUAUAGCAAUAUGAGGCCUCGCGCGAUCGGAGCGGCCGAUGUCAGAUUAGGUAGUUGGCGGGGUAAAGGCCCACCAAGCCGACGAUCCGUAGCUGGUCGGCGAGGAGGGCCAGACAGACGAGGACUGAGACACGGCCGCGACUACUACCGGAGGGAGCAGUGGGGAAUGUUGGACAAUGAGCGCAAGCCUGAUCCAGCAAUGCCGCGUGCAGGUAGAAGGCCUUCGGGUUGUAAACUGCUUUUGUACGGAGCGAAAAGGUCUUCUCUAAUAAAGAAGGCUGAUGACGGUACCGUAAGAAUAAGCACCGGCUAACUACGUGCCAGCCGCCGCGGUAAAAC
rnacentral:rRNA from 1 species